UUAUUGGGUUUAAAGGGUGCGUAGGCGGUUUAUCAAGUCAGUGGUGAAAAGUAUGGGCUCAACCCAUAUCGUGCCAUUGAAACUAGUAGACUUGAGUAUACAUGAAGUAGGCGGAAUUCGUUGUGUAGCGGUGAAAUGCAUAGAUAUAACGAAGAACUCCAAUAGCGUAGGCAGCUUACUAAAGUACAACUGACGCUGAGGCACGAAAGCGUGGGCAUAGAACAGGAUUAGAUACCCUGGUAUUCCACGCCGUAAACGAUGAUUACUAGUUUUUUGCGAUAUACAGUAAGAGACUAAGCGAAAGCGAUAAGUAAUCCACCUGGGGAGUACGCCGGCAACGGUGAAACUCAAAGGAAUUGACGGGGGCCCGCACAAGCGGAGGAACAUGUGGUUUAAUUCGAUGAUACGCGAGGAACCUUACCCGGGCUUGAAAUGUAUCUGACCGACUCUGAAAGGAGUUUUCUAGCAAUAGCAGAUAUGUAGGUGCUGCAUGGUUGUCGUCAGCUCGUGCCGUGAGGUGUCGGCUUAAGUGCCAUAACGAGCGCAACCCACAUUAUUAGUUACUAACAGGUCGAGCUGAGGACUCUAAUAAGACUGCCAGCGUAAGCUGCGAGGAAGGUGUGGAUGACGUCAAAUCAGCACGGCCCUUACGUCCGGGGCGACACACGUGUUACAAUGGGAGGGACAAAGAGCAGCUACCUGGCGACAGGAUGCUAAUCCCCAAACCCUCUCCCAGUUCGGAUUGGAGUCUGCAACUCGACUCCAUGAA
rnacentral:rRNA from 1 species